UGAAGCAGCUGGAUUGAUAGAACGGUGGAAUAGCCUUUUGAAGUCACAAUUACAAUGCCAACUAGGUGACAAUACUUUUCAAGUCUGGGGCAAAGUUCCCCAGAAGGCCAUGUAUGCUCUGAAUCAGCAUCCAAUACAUGGUACUAUUUCUCCCAUAGCCAGGAUUCACAGGUCCAGGAAUCAAGGGGUGAAAGUGGAAGUGGCACCACUCACCAUCACCCCUAGUGAUCCACUAGCAAAGUUUUUGCUUCUUAUUUCCGCGACAUCUACUAGUCUAGAGGUCACAGUUCCAGAGGGAGAAAUGCUGCCACCAAGAGACACAACAAAGAUUGCCACGUGGACACUUUGGGCUCCUCCUAUCUUUAAGUCAACAGGCUAAAAAGGGAGCUACAGUGUUGGCCGGAGUGAUUGACCUGAGCUAUCAAGAUGAAGUCAGUCUACUGCUCCACAAUGGAGAAUCUUUGAGUCCACGUGGAGGAAGGAAGGAGAAGAGGAGAAGACUGUUUUCCAGGAUGGAAAGGGAGCCUCGCUUUCUCUUUAGGUGGAUUACAGAAAUUGGUUGAAUUCUCCCUGCCCUGGAGAAAAGUCAAUUUAUUUUUUAUGUUAAAGAUUUAGGCUCUUCCUGAGGGCUACUAUGAAAGAAAAGUAGGGAAGCGAGCUUUUAUUUUGAGAACAAAGAGUGAGCCAAGAGUGUAAAGUUGAUAAGAGGGUAGAAGGGAGUAGAUGAAGGGGGAGGGGAAAAGAAAUGGCCAAAGGGGAACUGGCCAAGAGAAAGAACACUACAGGACCUUGAAAUGAGUGAAGAAAAUGUGUUAUACCUUUUCAUCCCUACAGUGUCUACAUACUAAUCCCCAGAAACUCUGAGUGUCACCUUAUAGUGCAAAGGGAUGUUGCAGAUGCCAUUGAGUUAAAGAUCUUGAGUUAGGAAGAUUAUCCUGAAUUAUUGGUGUGGGCCAAAUGGAAUCACAACUUUCCUUAUAGGAGGGAGGCAGAACUUUGAUGUAAACAGAAAAGAAGAAUGCUUUACCUUACCAAUUUUCUACAUGGUAGCCUGUAACUUGACAACAUUAUAAAACAACUGGCUCUAAAUCAACUUGAGUUAUAUUUUCAGAGCUUGAGGACCCUUUGAAACUGCCCUUCCAAAAUUACAACAGUGAGAGAAAUCGGACAUGGCUGACUCCAUCUUGCUUCUAGCCUCACAGGCUGGCUGUCUUUGCUCAUUCCUGGGCGUGGGUCAAGCUAACUUCCAGAGAAAUUUAGUUUACAGUUUAAAUAACAUUAGCCCUUACCAAAAACUAAACUGUUCUUGUAAAACUAAUGAAAGGCUACCAAGUUAAUGAGAGGGGCUUGAAUUCUAAAUAAUUACCAGUCAUUAUUCCGGAGGUCAUAAGAUUUGCAACUUCCCCAAUUACUCUUGCAGAUAACAUCACUAUUGUAGAACCUAAGACUGGCCUUUUGAGGUGUCUUUUCAGGUUUUUGCAUUUCUUUUUUUCUUUUAUUUAUUUAUUUAUUUUUGAGAUGGAGUUUUACUCUUGUUGCCCAGGCUGGAGUGCAAUGGUGCAAUCUCAGCUCACUACAAUCUCCGCCUCCCGGGUUCAAGCGAUUCUCCCAACUCAGCUUCCCCAGUAGCUGAGAUUACAGGCACCCACCAUCAUGCCCGGCUAAUUUUUUGGAUUUUUGUAGAGACCAGGUUUCAUCAUGUUGGCCAGGCUGGUCUCAACUCCUGACCCCAGGUGAUCCACCCACCUCAGCCUCCCAAAGUGCUGGGAUUACAGGCGUGAGCCACCACACCCUGCCAUAAGCCACAUGUUGAUUGCACCACUGCAGUCCAAGUCCAGCCUGGGCAAUAGAGUCAGACCCCUGGCUCUUAAAAAAAAAAUUUUUUUUUUUUUUAGUAAAAAAAUAGAAAACCGCGUGUUAACAAACUAUUUUCUUUUAAACAGUUAGCCUCUUAAAAGAUUUCAGCAGAGGCUUGUAUAGUGGGGGUGCUUGGUAAGAAAGAAUACCUUUUUUUCUGGCUAGAGAAUGGUAUUUUAAAGUUUAGAUUUUACUAAGUGAGAAGGAAAGCCACUGGGGAGGUUGACCAGGGCAGUGAGGUGAUCUGGGUAUGUUUUAAAAGGACCUCCCUGGCUUUGUGUGAAGAUGAGACUCUGGGAGCAAGAGGGCAAGCUGCCAGAUCUGUUCCUAUAGUCCUAGCAGGAAGAUGGUAGCACAUCAAGGGUGGGAGUGGAGAAGAGAUGCAAAGCUAUUGGAUCUUCAUCUACUUCAACUUCAUUUACUUCAACGGUGGAGACAAAUAGAUUUGCUGAUGUAUUUGCUGUAAUUAUGCAAAUGCAAGGCAAAUGUCUUCAUUUUGUUCUUUCGAUGGAGAGGUUAAAUAAUGAAGGCUGUUUCCUUGGAGUCUGUGUGUCUCUAAGGCUUGGAGAAAAAGAGCACCAAGAUACCAAUGGAAGUAUAACCAGCAGGCCUAGCACAAGCUGAGGGCUAAGAAAUUGUCCAGCCGCAGGUUAUAAUCUACAUUAGGCUUAGACAAUUAACUUCUUAAUUUCCUACUUUGCUGCCAACUUGUGGUUGCUGAAUAGUCCUUUCUUUCAUUAGCUGGUUCUCAAUUCUCAUAGGACUUUCUCAUCCUCACUCUCCAUACUGCCUAUCCAGGCAAUAAUCAUGUAACAGACAGGUCUCAGUAUUCACACCCUUGCGUAAUUGUAAUCCUCUCCCACAUAAACUAUGGCUGACCUAUAAAAGGAUAUUGUCUAUACAAAGAGAGACCUAUAUAAGGAUAACGAUAGAGUGACCUAUAUGAGGAAUGUGUCUUUCAAGACUAAGUCAUAAAAGAUAUUUUGGCUUCCAACUUGCUGUUUCCUGGAUCACUUGCUCUGGCCAUACCAGAAGACACACCUGGGAUAUACUCAGGCAGCCUUAUGAUGAGUUCCAUGUGCAUGUGAUAAAGAGCUGAAGCCUCCUGCAAGUAGCCAGCAUCAGCUCACCAAGCACAUGAGUGAGCCUCCUUGGAGGCAGAUUCUCCAGCCCCAGUCAAGCCUUCAGAUGACUGUAUCCCAGCCAAAUCUAGACUGUCAUGUCACAAGAGAUCCUGAGCCUGUAGCACCCACCUAAGCCACUCUCAAAUUUCUGAUUCACAAAAACUGUGUGAGAUAACAAAUCUUUAUUGUUGCAAGUUGCAGCAACAGAUAAUCAAUACACCCAUGCAUUCCCUUUGCUACCUCUGCUUUCUUCAGGGUCAAGGUAGAGGGGAAAGAAUUAGAGAAGAUAGAACUAAGAACUUACUUAAUCAGUGCCAUUAUAAUCCUGUUGGUGGUGCAUUCCAAAUACUGGCUCUCUCACUGAGAUGCAGGUUACAAGUUCUUUGAGAGGUUCUUUUUUUGUUUUUUGGGUUUUUUUGUUUUUUUUUUUUUGAGACAGUCUUGCUCUGUCACCUGGGCUGGAGUGCAGUGGCAUGAUCUUGGCUCACUGCAACCUCUGCCUCCUGGGUUCAAGCAAUUUUUGUGCCUCAGCCUCCUGAGUAACUGGACUACAGGCGCAUGCCACCACGCCCGGCUAAUUUUUGUAUUUUUUUUUUUUUUUUUAGUAAAGAUGGGGUUUCGCCAUAUUGGCCAGGCUGGUCUCGAACUCCUGGCCUCAAGUGAUCCACUUGCCUCGG
rnacentral:lncRNA from 1 species